CUGCAUUGAAUCGGGCCUCCAAGUCGCGCCUCGUGUACAAGGUGAAUUGGAAGGUUUUCCAUAGAAGAAACCACACGGAAAAAUCCUCUCCAGCUUAUUAGUGAUUAAAGGAAUGUGCUGAUCCAUUUAAAAUAGGUUUUCUUCCCUUAACGUGGUAUAACAUAAGGUCUUUGAAGAACAAACUUAUCUCUGUGAUUGGUUUCCAAAUAUUUUCAGGCAAUCCACAAAAUGAAAUACGGAUUAAGGUUUCCAUGAAUAUAUGACAGUCAUGACUUUUUAUAUGAGUCAGCUUUCCCUCAACCAUAUUGGCACGUUUUCCCAUGUUUGAUGCAUAGCCCUCGGGCAUCUUUAGGUUUGUAACCCAUCACAAAUUUGUUUUCUUUGUUCCAAGGUGAAUGUGUAGCUGGCCUUGGGCUUGAACACCUACAUCAUUAGGUUUGUAACCCACUCACAAAUAUGUCGUAUUUGUUCCAAGGUGAAUGUGUAGCUGGCCUUGGGCUUGAACACCUUACAAUUUUUCACAUACUGCAAAUGAAUUCAGGUCACCUGCAAUAUUCUUGUAAGUCCAGUCUAGCCUUCAGGUUAUCUUUUGUCUUAUUCUUAUCAUCCAUCACUGUGUUGAACAAAUUGUCAAAAUAGUUCUUCUCAAUAUGCAUGAAAUCAAGAUUAUGUCAGAGAAGAUUAUCCUUCCAAUAUGGCAACUCCCAGUAUAUGCUCUGUUUUGUCCAGUUAUGAGUAACACCACAUCCAGGAAAUUUAGAAGGUGGGAUCUCGGUUACUUUAAUAAAGUUCUGAACCCUUUCCCAAAUUUCCCCACUGGAAUAAAUUGGAGGUGGCAAAUAAUGUUCAAUUGUGUUCUUUUGAAUGCGUUCUUCAUCCUUCUGAACUCAUGAUCAACCAGCAAGAACUGACAAUAACAAUCAAACCAUGCCUGCUUUCGGCCGUUUUUUAAAGUGAACGCUUUAUCAUUUUCCAUGCUGUAAGGACAUGCUAACUUUCUGGCAGUCAUCCACCCAGACAACAUUCCAUAUACAGGAAAAUCAUUAAUGGUUCACAUUAAGUUAGCACGCAAGUUGAAAUUUUUCUUAGUUUGAUAUAUCAUAUGUCUCAACUCCAUCAUACCACAAUUGUUAAAGCUCAUAAAUCAAAGGUUGUAAAU
rnacentral:lncRNA from 1 species